rnacentral:rRNA from 1 species
CCUACGGGUGGCUGCAGUGAGGAAUAUUGGUCAAUGGGAGAGAUCCUGAACCAGCCAAGCCGCGUGAGGGAAGACGGCCCUAUGGGUUGUAAACCUCUUUUGUCGGAGAACAAAACCCGGGACGAGUCCCGGACUGCGUGUAUCCGAAGAAAAAGCAUCGGCUAACUCCGUGCCAGCAGCCGCGGUAAUACGGAGGAUGCGACCGUUAUCCGGAUUUAUGGGUUUUACGGGGUGCGUAGGAGGUCUGUUACGUCGUCGGUAAAAUUGCGGGGCUCAACCCCGUCGAGCCGUUGAAACUGGCAGACUUGAGUUGGCGAGAAGUACGCGGAAUGCGGGGUGUAGCGGUGAAAUGCAUAGAUAUCGCGCAGAACUCCGAUUGCGAAGGCAGCGUACUGGCGCCAGACUGACGCUGAGGCACGAAAGCGUGGGGAUCGAACAGGAUUAGAUACCCCUGUAGUC